GAUGAACGCUAGCUACAGGCUUAACACAUGCAAGUCGAGGGGAAACGACAUCGAAAGCUUGCUUUUGAUGGGCGUCGACCGGCGCACGGGUGAGUAACGCGUAUCCAACCUGCCCAUCACUUGGGGAUAACCUUGCGAAAGUAAGACUAAUACCCAAUGAUAUCUCUAGAAGACAUCUGAAAGAGAUUAAAGAUUUAUCGGUGAUGGAUGGGGAUGCGUCUGAUUAGCUUGUUGGCGGGGUAACGGCCCACCAAGGCAACGAUCAGUAGGGGUUCUGAGAGGAAGGUCCCCCACAUUGGAACUGAGACACGGUCCAAACUCCUACGGGAGGCAGCAGUGAGGAAUAUUGGUCAAUGGGCGAGAGCCUGAACCAGCCAAGUAGCGUGCAGGAAGACGGCCCUAUGGGUUGUAAACUGCUUUUAUAAGGGAAUAAAGUGAGAGCCGUGACUCUUUUUGUAUGUACCUUAUGAAUAAGGACCGGCUAAUUCCGUG
rnacentral:rRNA from 1 species